ACGGGAGGCAGCAGUGGGGAAUCUUGGACAAUGGGGGCAACCCUGAUCCAGCAAUGCCGCGUGUGGGAUGAAGGCCUUCGGGUUGUAAACCACUUUUGGCGGGGGCGAAAUAUCGAGUGUUAAUACCAUUCGGUGAUGACGGUACCCGCAGAAUAAGCACCGGCUAACUACGUGCCAGCAGCCGCGGUAAUACGUAGGGUGCAAGCGUUAAUCGGAAUUACUGGGCGUAAAGCGUGCGCAGGCGGUUAGGUAAGACAGAUGUGAAAUUCCCGGGCUCAACCUGGGAACUGCAUUUGUGACUGCCUGACUAGAGAGCGGCAGAGGGGAGUGGAAUUCCGCGUGUAGCAGUGAAAUGCGUAGAUAUGCGGAGGAACACCGAUGGCGAAGGCAACUCCCUGGGCCUGCACUGACGCUCAUGCACGAAAGCGUGGGGAGCAAACAGGAUUAGAUACCCUGGUAGUC
rnacentral:rRNA from 1 species